rnacentral:rRNA from 1 species
AUGGGCGAAAGCUGAUCCAUCAAUACCGCGUGUGUGAAGAAGGCCUGAGGGUUGUAAAGCACUCUCAAUAGGAAGGAAUACCUAUCGGUUAAUACCCGGUAGACUGACAUUACCUAUACAAGAAGCACCGGCUAACUCCGUGCCAGCAGCCGCGGUAAUACGGAGGGUGCAAGCGUUAAUCGGAAUUACUGGGCGUAAAGCGUGCGUAGGCGGUUAUUUAAGUCAGAUGUGAAAGCCCUGGGCUUAACCUGGGAACUGCAUUUGAUACUGGAUGACUAGAGUUGAGUAGAGGAGAGUGGAAUUUCAGGUGUAGCGGUGAAAUGCGUAGAGAUCUGAAGGAACACCAGUGGCGAAGGCGGCUCUCUGGACUCAAACUGACGCUGAGGUACGAAAGCGUGGGUAGCAAACAGGAUUAGAUACCCUGGUAGUCCACGCCGUAAACGAUGUCAACUAACCGUUGGGUUCUUUAAGAACUUAGUGGUGGAGCUAACGUAUUAAGUUGACCGCCUGGGGAGUACGGCCGCAAGGCUAAAACUCAAAUGAAUUGACGGGGGCCCGCACAAGCGGUGGAGCAUGUGGUUUAAUUCGAUGCAACGCGAAGAACCUUACCUACCCUUGACAUGUAGCGAAUCCUUUAGAGAUAGAGGAGUGCCUUCGGGAACGCUAACACAGGUGCUGCAUGGCUG